rnacentral:lncRNA from 10 species
GGUUCAAGGGAUUCUCCUGCCUCAGCCUCCCGAGUAGCUGGGAUUACAGGAGCUCACCACUAAGCCUGGCUAAUUUUUGUAUUUUUAGUAGAGAUGGGGUUUCACCAUGUUGGCCAGGCUGGUCUCGAACUCCUGAGCUCAGGUGAUCUGCCCACCUCGGCCUCCCAAAGUGCUGGAAUCUCGUUGGCAGAAACAGAAUCUAUGCUCAGAGACAGCAAAAAGAAUAGACACACUGACAUUUUGCAGCCAGGAUUAGGGGAACCAUUCAGAAGCAGCAUGGGCAGUUAGAGGUAAUCCGCAAGCUGCAGGCAUUGCAGUGUGGACAGCAGGAAGGCACGGUGCUGAGUUUGAAAGGCAGAAAUGGAGUGUGUAACACAGUACCAUUUACAUAUAUGUAUCUAUCCAUCCAUCAUCUAUUAUCUAUCUAUCUAUCUAUCUAUCUAUCUAUCUGACACCUAUCUCUUAUUGUUGUCCUUCCAUUCCUGUAGAUAUGGACCAACUUCUUCCGUCCUUCUUUUUCUUCUACUUCUCUCUUUCUUUCUUCUUUCUUUCUUUCUCUUUCUUUCUUUCUUUUUCUCUCUCUUUCUCUCUCUCACUCUCUCUUUCUUUCUUUCCUCUCGACCCUGUUUAUUGAUAAUUCAACAGAACCAGUUUGAAAUAUGGAGAAAUUAGGUCAACUCUACACUUUCACAUGGCUUAUUUUCAGCUUCCAAUCUUAGCUAGUGACAUGACUCUUUCUUCCAAGUCGAGGUCUUGCAGCACUUGCCUUCACUCCCGUAGCUGUAGUUAGACAGCACCUUAGGCUUGGGUCGACCCUCGGUGAACUCUAUGCCGUGUCCCGCCGCGCCACAGCACAGCUUUCUCCUCAUUGUCUUCUGGCUCUGACUGUAGACAUGGAAAAAGCAGAGUCAACCUGAAUCUUCUCCCUUGCACGAGGCCAACUGCUGCCUGAAUCAUCAUAGGAUUCUUUACUUUCUCUUGAAGAUAAACAACUUCACCAGAAAAUGUCCAAGUGUUGUUCAGCAAUUGAGAGUUUCUUUUGCUAUGUUUGUUUUCAUCACUUUUACUUCAUACCUUUUUUUUUUCAUUUAAUUUUGUGUCGUUUUUCUCAAGGCUGACACAUCACAAACUCUGUUUUCAACAGUCCGUAUUCCACAUUCAUUGCUUCUAACAUGGAGCUAACUUCUGCAAUGAUGUGGCCACCACUGGAACAGGAAGGUUGCUGUCAGAAUCUGGAGAAAUUCAUGGGAAGUUUAAUGUUGCCAGUGAGAGAAACACUCUGUGAGCUGUUCUUAGGGUCUGCUGGUGAGAUGGCUCAGGAAGGGUAAACACUGGAGGCAUGAGAAUACCAUCGAAGGGGCCGACUGCAGUGCCGGGCAUUGUGUAGGCCACAGCCACCAGUGCCUCCAUGUUUCUGACCAAAUGCUUCAGUGCCCUUUAGUGAGUGUGUCGCAGACAAGGCAUUUUUGUAUGAGAUCCAGGGUUCAUACCAUCAUGAUUCUUAGCCUUCAUAUUCAUCACACACUGGAAGGGACGCUGCGUGCCAGGCGUUCCGGCCGGCCAUCUGCGGGGGAAGGAGGAGCAUGGCCUGGAGAUGUGGAGCUUCUGGGCAGCAUGGCGCUGAAGCGCUGCUAGCUAAGAAUUACUAAACAACUCAGGUUCAGCCAACUCUAAUUUGUGUUUUAUUUUCACUAAACUUUUUGCUUACUUUAGUGUAGGCAUCCUUGGGGACCCAGCGAGACGGUUGGUUAGGGGCGCUCACCAUGAUGCCAGGACAGAUGAGAGGAGUCCUAGGAGUACUGGGGCCUGGUCAGUCUCCUGAGGCUGAGACUGUUCGUCCACUCCACAGCCGGCCUUCCUCCUUCUUUGUUAACAGAAGU